CUCAAUUAGGUAAAGCCUAAACGGACACUACAUCAUUUCACAAUUUUAUAUUUUCAGAAUCGACUCCAAUAACUCUUUUCCAAAACCCAGUGCUUCCCAUUAAUUCCUGACUCUUCAUACGUUCACCUAAAUUUCUCCUCACUCAUUCGAACUCUUUUUCCACAUGAUCCUAUUUUAAUAAAAUUCCUUCAAUUAUUUGUUUCUCAUAUCUCAAAGCAUAUCACUUAGUUGCACGAAUCCCAAAGUCUCAUCCCAUCUCAGCCAUUCAUCUUGCUUCCCAUAUCAUCCAUCCAUCAAAUCUCCGAUUUCCAGCUAAAUGGACCUGUUCCCAGCGACCACUUGUGAUCUCCCGCACCUCACAAAUCCAACCAAACUCCCAGCUCACGAAUCAUUUCUUCUCUUCAUCCAGAUCAAAAAGAAUCCCAGGAACUCAACUUCCCAGCCGUUCCGCUUCCCCUGUUUCAUCAUCAUCCCAUCUCCCCUUUCGUGAUUCCUCCCAGGCUAUCAGCCGUGUCCACCGUUCACAGCUCCGAAUCUAGCAACACCCUCCCACAUCCUAAACAGCUUCAUCCACAAGCACCUCUCCCAGCUGCUCCCACGAACAGAACCAAGCCAAUCUCGUCUGCAUUCCAAAAAUCUCCUCCCGCGUCCGAGAUCUUCU
rnacentral:lncRNA from 1 species